rnacentral:rRNA from 1 species
UACGAAGGGGGCGAGCGUUGUUCGGAAUUACUGGGCGUAAAGGGCGCGCAGGCGGCCUUAGAAGUCAGAUGUGAAAGCCCCGGGCUCAACCUGGGAAUGGCAUUUGAUACUCUGAGGCUGGAGUACGGGAGAGGAGAGUGGAAUUCCCAGUGUAGAGGUGAAAUUCGUAGAUAUUGGGAAGAACACCGGUGGCGAAGGCGGCUCUCUGGACCGUAACUGACGCUGAGGCGCGAAAGCGUGGGGAGCAAACAGGGAUUAAGAAACCC